ACAUGUGCUCGCGCUCAGAAGAUCACUUUCGCAACAGCGGCAUAUAUACAUAGCAAGCACUUGAGUACGGAAGGUGGACAGCUGGGUGGGGAAACAAUCCUUGCCGGUGGGAGUUUCCGAGACGGGCGGCGUUGAUGGAGGCGACUGCAGGCGACGGCGGGGCCAAAGCCAGGCGGCAGAGGAGGCGAAUCCAGGCAGCGGCGGCGCGCUCGUGAACCGGUCGCGGCAGUGAGGAUCGAAUCCCCAACGCUAACAAAGGAGCCGAGCCGAGCCGGGAGCUGCGCAACGCUUGGGAACUGAUGCGGAGGAGACGAUCCAUACGAUCCUGAGCUUGUCCACGUGGCGCACAUCGAAGGUGGGGCUGCACAGGAGGAGGUUUGCAGCCGCUCUCCACCGAAUUUUUUCCGUCCUCUUCCCGUCCUCCUCGCCGCCGUCCUCCUCCCCGCCGUCCUCCCGUCCUCCUCGCCUCCUUCCUCCUCCCCGCCUCCUCCCCUCAUGGCUCUGUGGAGCUGCACCUCGCCCCCACCUCACCUCACCUCGCCUCGUGCUCCACCUCCAGCACUUGGUGGCUGAAAAAGCUUCAAUUUUUCGGCGCAUCCGGUGGCGGAAGUGCCAGAUCCUGUGGCGGCGUUGUAGAUCCGGUGGCGGGGAAGCUCGAUCCGGUGGCGCGUACUCGGCGCUUCCUGGUGGUCCUCCUCGACGCCCGUGGUGUUGGCGUGAUGCAGUCACCUCCUCCUCGCCGUGCAGGGACGGCGGCGGUGCUCUCUCUAUUCAUGGCUACUGCUGGUGUUGCUGCUGGUGGCGCGACCGAUCUGUGUUCUGCAUCGGCUACAGCCACUGUUGGUACGCCUACACAUGGCACUUUUCCAUAGAACGGCGAGUCAGAUAUGAACGGAGAUACCAUUUCCCGAUCAACAGCCAUCAGAUCAAGCGGAAAACACCAGAAAGCUGAUUUUCAUCCAUGAUUUAAACAAGAUUUUUUGCCGUCAGGAUCUGCAACGACGGUAUAGCAUAUGUUUCUGUUUCCACCAUAUUAUUACGGAAAGUUUUAGCCAAAAGGAAGAGAGAAACAACAGCAACUAGCUACGGAAUGCCUCCUAAACCUUUGCCUGAAUCUGCUUAGAGAGGUCAUCUGUACUGGCUAUGACAAACAAACUGGACGAAUGACCCUCAAGUUUAAGGAGUUGUUGGAAGGGUUAAAAUUUUAGAGGAA